rnacentral:rRNA from 1 species
GUAGGGGGCAAGCGUUAUCCGGAUUUACUGGGUGUAAAGGGAACGUAGACGGACUGGCAAGUCUGAUGUGAAAGGCGGGGGCUCAACCCCUGGACUGCAUUGGAAACUGUUAGUCUUGAGUGCCAGAGAGGUAAGCGGAAUUCCUAGUGUAGCGGUGAAAUGCGUAGAUAUCGGGAGGAACACCAGUGGCGAAGGCGACCUACUGGGCACCAACUGACGCUGAGGCUCGAAAGCAUGGGUAGCAAACAGGAUUAGAUACCCUGGUAGUCCAUGCCGUAAACGAUGAUUACUAGGUGUUGGAGGAUUGACCCCUUCAGUGCCGCAGUUAACACAAUAAGUAAUCCACCUGGGGAGU